CUGCAGGUCUACGACCAGAUGCCGGAGCCUCGCUACGUGGUCUCCAUGGGCAGCUGUGCCAACGGCGGCGGGUACUACCACUACUCCUACUCGGUGGUGAGGGGCUGCGACCGCAUCGUGCCCGUCGACAUCUACGUGCCAGGUUGCCCUCCUACUGCAGAAGCUUUGCUGUACGGAAUCCUGCAGCUUCAGAAGAAAAUCAAACGGGAGAAGAGGAUUCAGAUCUGGUACAGGAAAUAGCCUCUUAUUUAUGUCCUCCCAGGUGCUGCUGCCUGGGGCACCUGCUCACACUUGUACGCACAAUCCGCUGGAAUUCUCACGAGCCUUCCAAUAAAACUCUACCUG